CCUACGGUGGGCAGCAGUGGGGAAUAUUGGGCAAUGGGCGCAAGCCUGACCCAGCAACGCCGCGUGAAGGAAGAAGGCUUUCGGGUUGUAAACUUCUUUUAUUCGGGACGAAACCAAUGACGGUACCGAAUGAAUACGCCACGGCUACCUACGUGCCCGCAGCCGCGGUAAUACGUAGGUGGCAAGCGUUAUCCGGAUUUACUGGGGGUAAAGGGAGUGUAGGCGGGAGAGCAAGUCCGACGUGAAAUUCCAGGGCUCAACCCUGGAACUGCGUUUGAAACUGUUCUUCUUGAGUGAUGGAGAGGCAGGCGGAAUUCCGUGUGUAGCGGUGAAAAGCGUAGAUAUACGGAGGAACACCAGUGGCGAGGGCGGCCUGCUGGACAGUAACUGACGCUGAGGCGCGAAAGCGUGGGGAGCAAACAGGAUUAGAUACCCCUGUAGUC
rnacentral:rRNA from 1 species